rnacentral:rRNA from 1 species
AGCAACGCGCAGAACCUUACCAACCCUUGACAUGGCGAUCGCGGGACCAGAGAUGGUUCUUUCAGUUCGGCUGGAUCGCACACAGGUGCUGCAUGGCUGUCGUCAGCUCGUGUCGUGAGAUGUUCGGUUAAGUCCGGCAACGAGCGCAACCCACACUCUUAGUUGCCAUCAUUCAGUUGGGCACUCUAGGAGAACUGCCGGUGAUAAGCCGGAGGAAGGUGUGGAUGACGUCAAGUCCUCAUGGCCCUUACGGGUUGGGCUACACACGUGCUACAAUGGUGGUGACAAUGGGUUAAUCCCCAAAAGCCAUCUCAGUUCGGAUUGGGGUCUGCAACUCGACCCCAUGAAGUCGGAAUCGCUAGUAAUCGCGUAACAGCAUGACG